GCCGUCAUCGCGCUUCUCCCGCUUCACGCGCCGCUCGGAGGGCUCUGCCUGGCUGCGCUCCCGCCCGUGCGUGCUGCUCCGGGCCUCAGCUUCGGCCCCGCGCCGCCCGCUCCCGCGCUCGCCCCCACGUUCCCGGCUCCGCUUCCGUCGUUCGCCACCGCUACCGCCACUGCCGCCACUCCGGUGCUUGUGUUUUUUGUGUUCCCGGUGCCGCGGCGGCUGCUCGGUGGCACCCCCGGUGCCGGCCGCCGCCGUCGUCCCGGCCGCCUCCUUCUCUCCGCGAUGCUUCUUGGACGACCCCAUAGUGGCACGUCCACUCCGAGCCCGGCUGCCGCCG
rnacentral:lncRNA from 1 species